CAUGAAGCCGGAAUUGCUAGUAAUCGUGGAUCAGCAUGCCACGGUGAAUACGUUCCCGGGCCUUGUACACACCGCCCGUCAAACCAUGAGAGUUGGCAACACCCGAAGCCUGUAGCUUAACCGCAAGGAUGGCGCAGUCGAAGGUGGGGUCGAUGAUUAGGGUUAAGUCGUAACAAGGUAUC
rnacentral:rRNA from 1 species